GGUAAACCAGACUUAGGGAAGCUGGAGAGGGUUCAGCAGGAUGCAGUAAGGUCAGUGAGGGGCUUUGUCACUGUUGUCCGCAGGGACAGCGUGAAGAACGACACAGAAGUCCAGGAUAAAAUGGGAUUAUUUAAUUAAUUACAGAUUUGUUUAUACAGCUUUGUUUGCAUAACAUCAUUAGGUGCUUGACCAUACACCUCCCAGAGUGAUUGGCUGAAUGGUACAGCACCCAUUUCAAAAUAUUUUCUUCAGUGUGGAAAACAAGACUGUGCAUAACAAGUUUGCACCUGUGAGAUAAAGUCUUGGUUUACAAAACCCUCUACCCUGUUUUCAGCUAGCUUGCGUGAGAAAGGAGACUUUCACAAGCAGCUGUAAAAAGCUGGGAAAAUAAAUCUGCCAGCUUUUUUAGCAUCUACAGGGCUUUGAACAGGUGGCCUGCAGGAAGUAUGGAAGGGAGCUGAACUUGUUCACUGUGCUGAAGAGGAGACUGAGGGCAGGGCUAACAGCAGCCUCCAGCUGAGAAGGAGUUGCAAAGACCAUCAAACCCAAACCUUCUCUGCACCGCCAGAAGAUAAUGCUUCAGUAGCAAUCCAGACGUGCUCCAGAGAAAGGAAAAAUCCUACUUUAAAGCCUCCCACCAAAUUCUGAAUUGUAAUGAAAAGCUGGACUCCUUAGCAUCACAGGUAAUAUUAAAUUAGUAUUUAAACAUCCUGGGGAAAGAAAGGGGAGUGGGAAUGGAAAAUUGAGGCAGGAAAUAUAUGUUAUGUUCAUCAAAACUUUGCAGAAAGCAAAAUAAGUGACCAAAGCCUUUUCCAGUGGCAUUCUUGGCAUGUGUCUGCUUUGCAAAUGGCCUGAAUUUCCAACAGUGAUCAUUUUAUUUUGCUUGGGCUUGCCUGGACACAGCAUCCUUUUUCUUAUUUCUUAACUGGCCUUCAAUUUCCUCAGUCAGGUUCCCAGUUCACAGCAAAUGCCUCUGAGCAGAGGUGAGGCCGACCCAG
rnacentral:lncRNA from 13 species